AGGCACUUUACUUCCUGCAGUAUAGGGACCUGUUGUGGUCAGAGAGUGAAAGUCCUCUGAUUCUCUUUAACUGGACUGCAUUUGAUUCUGUGGUUGUCCCUCCAAUGGCCGUGCAGGAGGAAAGGCACUGUGCAGUUAUUCUUUAUGCUAAGCCACCAAAUAAAAGCUCACUCUUUCAUGCCUGUGAGGAGGCACCUGGAGAGAGACAGCAACUUCAAGGCCCUGCAAAUAGAGCAAGAAGCAAUUUUCUUAGGGGGCAUGUUACCUGGUCUUCUUGAAGAGUAACUGACAUCGACUGGUAUUCUGUGGGAUUACUUUGCACCAGAAAUGUUUCUCCCCUGAUUAGACAGCCCGGAAACUCUUGCAGAAGUCCACAAGGGUGGGCCUCAUCUAAUCAAUUGAAGACCUUCAGAGCAAUAGCUGAGGCUCCCCAAUGAAGAAGAAAUUCUGCCUCAAGACUGCAAAGUAGAAAUCCCAUCUGAAUUUCCAGCCUGCCCCUGUGGAAUUUGGAGUCAAGACUGCAACAUCAACUCUUCCCUGAAUUUCCAGACUGCCGGCAUGCCCUACAGAUUUUGGACUUGUUAAUCCCCAUAGAUAUGUGAGCUAAUUCCUUAAAUCUGUGUAUGUGUCUGGGUGUGUGUAUAUUAGUUUGAUUUUUCUGGAGAACACUGACAAAUACAAGCCCUGAGAGACAAGAAGGGCAGUUUCUUUUCCCAUUUUACAGAUGGCUAAAUAGAGGUACAGUAAGCUUAGGCCAUUAACCUAAGGCUCCAUGCUGAAUAUUUGAGACUGGAAGGAAGGAAGGUCAUUGGCCUUCUAACUCCCAGCUUUUAAAAUGGAAGCUACUGCUUGGUAUAUUGUCCUCCCAGUAGCCAAGAGCUCAACCAUCUGGAAGGGACAUUUGAACAACAUUUCCUCUCUCUGGCAUUGUAUUGGGUCUGGACGCUAAGCCAGGUGACACCAAUGGGCUUUGGAGAUCCACAUACAUAUUUAACAACCACUGUUUCAAUGGCUUGCUUCAGAGGAGAUAUAAGCCUUCCUUUGAACAAAACAAUCACCUCACUGUAAAUGUGUACAGGAACAUCAAACCAUCAGUAAGCUGAAAGAUUUUUAUCCUUUGCAGUCAGUAAUGAAAGACUGGAAAGGAUUUCUCUUGAGAUAUUCUGGUUUUGAUGGAUUUUCUUUGUUUACAAUGAACCUGGGACUUAAAUAUUACAACCUAUCCUUGCCUGACUGAAAUACCUGACCCACAAUAUCUGGAACAAUAACCUGGGUAUUAUUUGAAGCAUACUGGUCCAAACUUUGACUCUGUUUCACACUGGGUAUAAAAUUAAAUGCAGAACAAUUACAAGUUAGUGACUCCCUAUCCAGUGGGUUUUGGAUUCUCACCGCUUUGGAGGGGGAGGAGAAGUGCUCCACAUGCUUGGGUGAGAAAGCCCGCUGUCAGUGGUUUAGGUCAAGACAUGAUCAUCUUACCAUGAGUGAGUUUCUCUUUGAUGCUUGGGCUGAGCUGUCCCCUCCUGCCAAGAGCAGAGUUAAACGCAACAACCUGAGGGUAGGUUUGGGCAUAAUGGUGUCAUUUCUCUGCUCAUAUAUCAAAAAAUCAUGGGAGUCUGAAAUUCACUGUAGAGGCUGCUACCUACAAGGGAGUUAAGAUGCCACGAAUAGCAAAGCUUAUGUGGUCUUGUACAAGCUCCGUUACAGUCUAUGCCUCAUUUUGCUCAUCUGUGAAAUGGGAAUAAUACUUGUUUCACAGGAUUGAUAAGACGAUUAAAAACACUUAAAAUUAGUCAGUGGCCUUUUCUGAAUAUCAAACUUGGGCCAGCACUGCGUCAAUCAUUGGGGAUUCCUUAUCUUGGUUAAAUGUCACAAGUAUUCUAUAAAGGGGUGUGGUACAGUUAUUGGUGCUGUUUUAAAAUGAGGGAAUUGUACUUAGCAGGUUAAGUGCCUUUUCCGUUGUCACUUAGUGAGUUAACAGCAGAUAGGACCCUGACCUCAAUCAACCACUGGGUGCUCAGGGCAGCUCAGUUUUAUCCUCCUUGAUGCUGGUCUUCACCCCUUUCCUUUUUUGCUCCUCUUAGGGUCAGGGUCUCAAAUGGAAUUCUAACCAGAAAGAUCAGAGGGGAUGCAGUGUUUCAGCUUGGGCUAAUGGGCUCUCCUUGAGGCUGGACUGAAAGAAACUGAAGAUCCUUCCAUGUUGAAACAAGGGGAGAAUGGGUCUAAUGCAAAGAGAAAUAAAAUCAUUUGCUUCUGUGAGUGCCACUGUUAUCCUGUGUUGCUAAGAAAUUAUAAGCUGCUGGAGGUAAGGCAGUUAACUUGCAAUAGACUCCUGGUUUUAUGUUAAACAAAUGAUUUUUGAUGAGGAAGUUUGUAGUUUCCUCUGACGAUAAUCUGCCCUGUUCAUUGCUUGUCUCAUUGUCAAAUUCAGCUUGCAGGGCUUUGUGAAUUCUCAUGAAAAGCUUUCUUUCCAGGCAGUGAGAAAGUUUAAGGUCAGAAGAAGGACACAGUGCUGAGAAAGUAAAAGCUCACGGGAUUUGUUGAGUGAUGAGACCCUCUCUGGCUCAUAGAAAAAUAGAAAGCCUUUUCUUGCUGUCAAACUUAAAAUUUAUCAAGGCAAGUGGAAAACAAACACAGGAAAAAUUAUUCCAAAAGCACUAUGCUUUCAGGCUUCCCAUUCCAUUGACGAUGAAAUCGGCACCCAAGGGGGUAGGAGGAAAGGAGCCACAGAGAAUAUAUAGGAGAUUGGACCAGAGUGUACACUGAAGGAAAAGGCAUUGUUGUCCUCCUGGUUCAAUCCAUUGUGUUGAAGAGGUCGUGCUGAUGAUUUCAGCCAAUAAAUAGUGAAUGUCUACAUAAUGAGUGGUAAGCCCAGCUCUGUAUCCAGGCAUCCGUAUGCUGAGUAACGUUCUCCCAAGGGCAUGGCUGGCUAAUUGUCUGGAGCCUGGAUGAAGAGAGAGAGGAUUAUAUUACAUGCUCCGGCAUAUUACAUUAAGCUGAGUCCUGAUUCAGGGCCAAUAUUUUUGUUCAGUGAUGCUUGUUGCCUCAGAUCUCUCCCUGGUGGAGUUUUAUCUCCCUGAGGAAACAUGGUGAUAACUCUAAAGAUCAGUCUAUAGACUAUCAAUCAAAACACUGGAGCACUUUUCUUUAUCCAGAGAAAGAUUCGUUGUAGAAAGAGGAGCACUGGACUGAGAGUCAUUUAUGCUCUACUCUAGGCCUAGCAUUGCCACUGAGCAGGUGUUCAACUCAGGGCAAAUCAUUUGUACUCACAAAAAUACCACUUUCUAAUCUACACACUGAGAGAAAAUGAAGGGUUUCUUCGAAUUAUAACCAGCUGGAAAACCCAAUAUAUACACUAGAUAAAUUCAGAGAGGUUCUAGGUGAAUAAUACCUAGGGACCAAGGACCCAGUGUUUACCUCAACCUUUACUUCUUCCCACCAUCCCUUCAAGAAGUGGCUUCACCUAAUCUUUAGGCAUCCAUAGUUUCCAGAAUAGCUUCCCGUGCUGCUCCUCCCAGAGAUCACAUAGUGGAAAUGUUAGACUUUUACCUCUGUGCUUCUAGACUUUCAUGCAUUCUCCUAAAAUUUCAGCAGGAGAAACCCCCUGAAGGUGAUUUUUACAAGGAGGUUAGAAACAUACAAGUGGAUUUCUGUGUUCUACAAUGUCCAGGCUUUUAAAAAAUUUCAGUCCCUCUCUUUUGUGUAGAAAUCUGUAUUGAUUUUCGUUCCAAUUAAGCCACACUGAUGUUAUGUUAUUGUGUGGGUCAUGGUUGUGUGCAUUAUUGUUGAUUACAAAAUUCGCCAUGUUGGUCAGUUCUAAAAGGGACAGUGUGUCCCUUUGAUGGCAAAAGCUUCUCUGGUAGAUGUUUUGUCCUGAGAGAAGGGAAGAAGCAGUGGGAAAAUAAUAAAAGCAGAGGUUUGUGGAAGGGACUGUGUAUCUGGUUCUUGAGUUAAGGCUCUCACUAGACCAAACCGUCAGGUGAAAAAACAGGAAACAGAGAGAUGGACACAUUUGAACUAUUGGUUUUUUUCAUUUAAGGAAUGUGUCCACAUUAUGAAUAGAUUUUAUAGAAUCAUAAAGUAUUGAAAUUUUAAAGCUAGAAGGGAUCAAAAUGAUUUUCUCCUAAGAGUGGCUUUAGUUUUUGAGAGGAGAGCUUUUUCUUUUUCUUUUAAUGAAUGUUCAUACAUAAGCAGAGGAUUUUGAUCUUCUGAAUAGCCACUUAGGGAAUGUUCUUUUUUGUAAUUUUGCAAUGUACAUGAGAUUUUCAAAAUGACUGGCAAAGCUUUUCUGGGAAAGAGACUGCUAAAGUACAUUGGGGUAAAUUGAGAAAUUGAAAUAAUUACCCCUAAAUUUAUCAAGAUAAUUUCAUUAAGGCUGGUCAUUAUCAAAAACUGUUCCUGAGGUCACUAAAACAGUCCUCAAUUGAACUGGAGUUACUUAUGUACUUUAC